rnacentral:lncRNA from 1 species
GAGCAAACAGCUGUAGCAUAUUUAGACGGAUUAAAGUCCUGCGCUUAUGGUGUUCAACAAACUCCCGUUCCGCAAGGGCUCCUCGAAAAAGGCCAUUAUAAUAAAUUUAGACAUUUAGAAAGCAUGAAAGCGCCUCCAAAAUACCCAAACACUGCGACCUCUUGCUGCUGGUGCUGUGGGUUUUCUCAUUGCAGGGCAUGGCUAGAGGGGAUGAACUAAUCCAUGAAAUACUCCACAAUCUUGAAUCUCUCAGAGGAAACUUCAGCUUUAACGUUGGCAGUGACUCAAACUUUCUGAUGGGUGAUAGUGAUAACGUUGAAGAACACUGUUCCAGAGAUAAAGUGGCGAUGGUCAGUUCGAGCAGGAAAAAGGAGACAGCUGAUCACUUUGUACAGCAGUGGACCACAUUUUUUCGAGCUUGGUUGAGAAUUGUGUGUGAGAAGUUAUGACUAUUGAUUCUUCUUCAUAGGUCACUCCAGCUCACUCUAGUAAUGUCAUCAUGUAGUGUAUUUGUUUAAUAAAUUAAAGCUGCGUAAUGAUGGAUC